rnacentral:tRNA from 1 species
AAAUAUGAAGUGAUAAAUCACAAUUAGUUUCGACCUAACUUAAGAUAUUUAAUUAUCCUUAUUUU